AUAUAUAUAUAUAUAUAUAUAUAUAUAUAUAAAUCCUUGACCAAUUACUGGCUUCUUAUACAUACAAAUUUAAACUACAAAUUAUCAAAUUUAUAUUAUUUUUGUAAUACUUGGACAUUUAUUAGUAUUUCACAUUAACGCUGGCAAGGUUUUGAUUUAGUACAUUACAGGGCACAGAAUCAUUUACUCUGGUUUUUUUGUUAUACAUUUGAGUGAAAUAACAAACAAGGUCUAUCAAAAUAAUUUUUCCUUCAAAUGACAUGUUGCAGAAAUGAAUUAAAAAGAUUGAAGUAGGACUGCAAGCAAGGGCUUGUGCAGUGCUCAUUUUAUUAAAUGUAAAUACAGUACCUGUACAGUAGCUGUUCACUGCAUAAACAAAGUGACAAAGACUUAGCUUUCUGAAUAUAUUAUUCUGGAGUGUCGAUUACAUGCACACUAUUCACACAGCCUUCAUAAUAAUGUUGGCUUGUUCUUGUCGUAUGUGGAAGUUCAGUUGUAUGUAAUACUUUUCAAUAGCAGUGAAUGUUGAAUUCCAUAGUUAUUCAGUCUUUAUAAAGUUAUAGGAAAUGUCUAGCAGAGGAUCAUCUUGCCAUGCUUGAGGGGCAGUUCACUUAUACAAUUGAGGUACCCCCCCCAAGAGAAAAAUUUGAGAUAACAAGCUUCUAACAACUAUAUUGAGUGUUGUGUAUCACCACCACUAUCAUUCUAUUCCUGCAUGUUUAUUGGCUAAUUAUAAUAUCUUUCAGGCAUAUAACUCAAUAAAUGUUUGUCUGUUAGGGGUGUGGAGUGGGUGGCUAGCUUCAUGCGAGCACUGUGGUUGGGUCAUGUGUGCCCAGUUACAAGUGGUGACAUGUACCCUACUUACAAAUAUUUAUGGCCCUUGAUACAGCUCUUAACUCCUGGUAUUUAUAAUAAAUACAAGCAUAUAUUGUUCUCAUGUUUGUAUGUUUUAAAUUAUCAAAAUUCAGUAGCUCCAUCAAGUGCCAUAAAUAUUUAUGUACUGUAUAAGCAAAGUAAAUUCUCCAAUCACAGUCCUUGUGGCUGGCUGCCGACUGCGAAGUUGCCACAUCUUUUAUUUUACGUAUAUCUACCAAAUAACUCCAUAAAAUAGUGUGACUAAAAAUUAAAAACUUAUACAGUAGAUGAUAAAAAUAGUACGUGCAUGACUAAUGUUCAUUUGCCAAGCCAACCUUUAGAAAGCAAUCUAUUACAUUAAAUUGUACUGUAAAAAUUAUGUGGUUGUGGACUGAACAGCUGACUUGCCCUCUGUGUGGGUGAGGGCAGUGCAUGGAGUGUAAGGUAAUCAAACUUACAAACCCAAUCAAAUCUUGGAAUUGCUAUACCUACAGUACUUUUAAUUCUGAAAAUGCACCGAUUUUGUAAUAUUUAUUGAGUUAAAUAAUCAUACAUUUUUUCACAUUGGAUCAGCAUGUUUUGUUUAAUACUAACUGUGUUAGAGGGAAUAUUAUCAAAGAACAAGAGAUAGAGAUUUAUUUAGUCAAAUCAUACAAUACUCAACUCGUAACCUAUAAAAUCACAAUACAAUACACAAUAGUACACAACAAGAUGAAAGCAGGUAACCUAGAUCUGCAUACGACAAUGGAUAGUGAGACACUGAGUACAGUAAGCUUGCAAUGUUGCUUCCACCCCUCGUCCACCAAUUCCCAGAUGCACAACGGCUGGAAAUUUUAAAUGUAAUUAUCUUUCAAACACAGUUAAGGGGUUUUUCAUGCAGUUCAAUAGCAAUAUUGGUUUCAAUUAAUAUAGCACGGUAAAGCCCUGGCUGGGAUAAAUGAUUGUCUACUGUACUAUGUACCCUGUGCAGUAUAGAUACAGCUUAAGUGAUCAUUAAAUGUACAUAAAUAUUAUAAAUCUAAAUUUUAUAAAAGAAAAAUAAAUAAGGCUUUGCAUAUCUCAAUUUCAAUGUUUGUUGUAGCACAAGGAUGACUUGUUUAUGUGGAACAGAUGCGCACCACUGCCACUAAAUUUCCUCUUAGGAGCCACGAUUGCAGUAAAAUUCUACCAGCACGAACGAUUGGGAAUGUUCACAGAAUCAGUGUGUAAGAGAGGAAACCAGAGUUAUGGUUAACUCAUAAAUUCGGGUAGAUGUACUUUUUUUACACAAUGUGAAACAAAUAAAAAUAAAUAAUUAUCAUGAAGUAAAAAAAACAGGGAAGGGAAUAAGAAUUUCUUCAUGCGUUCGAGUUAGCACGCGCAGCGGGGUAUCUCGGCUGUUCGCUGUGUCUCGUGGAGUGAAAUGAUUGCUAAAUGGCAGUGCAGCAUUUUUUUUUUUUUUUACAUAUUUUUAUUUAUACCUCACAUUUACUGGCACUGUAUACUGUAUAUUUUAUGUACAAAGAAUAGCUGCUCAGCCACCCAGCUGAUUCACAUUGGGGAGAGGGAGGGACUCCGAGUGAACAACGUACUUAGUUACAAUUCACUGCCUCCGCACACAAACGUUCACUUCCCACACAUACACACCCAUGCUUUUCAUUUUUAUUAUUUUAUAGUUUUGUUAAAUAUAAUUUUUCAAACGAGCCUGGAUAAGUGAUAAAGACAGAGAUAGCGAGAGAUGCUGGGUGGGUUGACUCGCACAAGGGCAAGACCCAUCAUAAGGGUGGAUCAGGGGGGUUAACUGUGUUUAAGUGGGGUCACGUACUCAUUCACUAAAAAUUAAUUACAAGCUUUCUUUUCUGGUGAAAGCCUGCAUGUAAUCGUGAAGUAAAUACUGUACAGGUAUUGACACUUGAUAGCAAGUUACUGAUAGAUCCAUAACCAAACCUAGACUGUUUAUAUAAGUUAAUGAAGCUGUAAAAUGUAAUAAAUCUUCAGGUUCACAUACUCCUGUUAAUGAAGCUGUAAAAUGUAAUCGAUCUUUCAGGUUCAUAUACUCCUGAUUUCAUAAAAUGGAUUGUUGAUCACGUGUGUUCACGUGUUUCUAUUCCUCCAAAGCUUUUCAUAUAUAUUCACACUAGCAGUGAGCAUAGGUUGAUGAAAAGUUUCCAGUCAUUAGAAGUUGACUUGAUCAGGAAAGUGUAAUGUUACCUAACUUAAUUAAUAAGUUAAACAGAGGGAUAAUUUCAACAGGAAAUGCUGCUGUUAACAAGUAGAGUAGUAUGCUAUUGAGACAAGGAAAAUUGAGUGGAGCUGAAAACAGAAUUACCCAAGAGGAAAGGGACAAAUUUCAAAACAUAACUUGGUGUGUGAUUAACAAUAGUAUUUUAAAUGCUUAUCUGAGUAGUAUGUGGCUAGUUUAGAGGGAACUUGCCUACAGUUGGAGUAUAGGCUCAUAGCAUAGUGGUAUUCAGUACAUUAUCACUUAUUUGAUAGUUGGAGAUUCUAGUAUUGUACUGUACUUUGUUCUUUAUGUCAACAAUACAAACAAUUUGCUUUUUCCUUAUAGACCGGCAGCUGACAUCACAAGAUGUUUCAAUUUCUCUGAUUUUUUUUUUUUGCAGAUAUAAUAAGGCAGGCAGUUUACAAAAUUAACCCAUGUAUAAGAGUUAAGAGAAAGGAAUUAGAUGAUCAUUUUGAAGUGAUUUGUGACCAGAAACACUAUUUUUCAUUGCUAGUGUCAAACAUGGGUGUUAACUGGCAUACAGUACAGUACAAUAAUGAGAACUGCUGAUAAAUGAAUCAACCCUAGGCAUCAGCGACACUUUACAGUAGAUAUUUUGUUUUAAUGUUAUCCGAUAGGAGCAAAGAGCAUCAUAAGGCAGUGGUUAUUAUACUUUUACCAUAAUACAUUUAAUUAAUGUAAUGCCUUGUACAGUACCAAAAUUUAUUUUCAUUCGUCAUUCCAUUUUUGGGUUGUUGACUAGUAGCCCCCUCCCCACAUGAUAUACUGUACUCUGUACUGAUAAGUAUCAGUAAAACUGUUUACUUUGACAAAAAUACAUUGUGUAAAGAAAGUGUAAAAGGUAAAAAUAGUUUGAAGUACACUACUAAUUGAACCUGAGAAAAUGUAGUCUGAUUUUUUUGAUAAAACAUUUAUUGUAUAUUAACUUAAAUUGUUGUGAGGCUUCUAAAUGGUUGUGACAUAUUAACAGUUAUUUGUAAAGUAAAAAAAAAAAAAAAGUGUUCCUUCUUGUCUUUAGCCUUGUGUAAUAAUGUACAGUUAUAUUUUGUUGAUUAUUAUUUGUUGGCAGUUUUAUAAUCAAUUUUAUUGUGCAGAAAGUUUAAAUAUUAUUAGUUAUUUCAUAUUUUUAUCUCAUUGUAACAAAUCAGAGGAUCUACCCAAUGUAAAUGUACCUUUGUUAGUCACGGGCCCUGUAUGAAAUAAAAUAGUAAGGUUUCUUUUGCAGGGAACUAUGAUGAAUAAUUAAUUUAAUUUAAUAUUGUAUUGCUCCCUCCCUCACCAUUUGGUUACUAAUACAUCUUUCUUUAUGCAGCUUGAAUAUUUCAUAAUUAAAUUUGUGUACAGUA